rnacentral:rRNA from 1 species
UUGGGAUUCUUCACCACGUCCAAUUCUACGCCAGCCAGCUUGUACCUCGGCAUAUGGUACAACGGCAUCUCCGAGCUAACCACGGUGUGGGUCGCGAACCGUGAAACCCCGGUCAUCAACAAUACUACCCUCUCCCUCACCAAUACCUCAAGUCUUGUUCUGUCCAAUGGCAAUGGCACUGGCCGUGUUAUCUGGACGACGACCAGCGUCGCCACUGCCGCAGGCUCAUCUCCCUCGACGGCGGUGCUGUUGAACACCGGAAACCUUGUCCUCCGCUCACUAAAUGGCACCAUGUUGUGGCAGAGCUUCGACCACCCAACUGACACGUUCCUCCCCGGCAUGAAGAUCGGGCUCAGGUACAGAACGCGAACCGGAGAUCGUCUGGUGUCCUGGAAGGGCCCCGGCGACCCCUCGCCAGGGCGUUUCUCCUACGGUGGUGACCCGGCUACGUUCCUCCAGAUAUUCAUCUGGGAUGGGGCACGACCUGUGUACCGCAACAUCCCAUGGACAGGGUUCCGGGUGAAGAGCGAACAUCCGAACGCUAGCGCCAUCAUCGUCUACAUGGCUGUCGUCAAUACCGACGAGGAGAUCUACGUGACCUACAGCCUCUCCGACGGUGCUGCACGCACCAGGUAUGUACUGACCUACUCCAGCGAGUACCAACUCGAGAGUUGGAGCAGCAGGUUGUUGAAGUGGACUGUCCUCGCCAAGUGGCCACCCACCGACUGCACCCGCUACGGCUACUGUGGCUCGUAUGGGUACUGCGACGCUACGGCGGCACCCGUACCGACGUGUAAGUGCCUCGACGGCUUCCAGCCGACGAGCAAGGAGGGGUGCCGACGAAUGGUGCCAUUAAGCGGGUGCAGUGGCGGCUUCUUGCCCCUGCCAUUGAUGAAGUCGCCGGACAGGUUCGCAUUUGUUGGCGGGAACAAGAGUACAUUGGAGGAGUGUGAGGCGGAGUGCCGCCGUAAUUGCUCCUGUGUGGCGUAUGCGUUCGCCAACUUGGGCAGCGGCAGGUCCGGGGGAGAUGUGACGAGGUGCUUAGCGUGGGAUGAGGAGUUAGUUGACGCUGGAAAGAUAGGCGAAGUACCUGGUGGAAACACACUCUAUCUCCGCUUUGGAGCUGAAGGCUCGCCAACACAUGGACCAGGUGGGAGCAAUUCGGCAGUAGUGCCAAUUUUAGGAACAAGUGUCGUUCUUCUACUCAUAGGCAUUUUCGUGGCGUGGUUAAAAUUCAAAGGCAAGAACGCAAAACUGAGAAAAGCCAAGAAGAUAACAUUUGAUGGUAUGGGUACCUCUUAUGAACUUGAGGAUGGAAACCCUCCCCAUGAUCAUGAAUUAGCAUUUGUGAGACUUGAGGAAAUAGCCCAAGCAACAGACAAUUUCUCCGAAAAAUGUAUGAUUGGACAGGGAGGCUUUGGCAAAGUUUAUAAGGGAUUCUUAGGUGGUAAGGAAACUGCUGUAAAAAGGCUAAGUAUGGAUUCUCAACAAGGAACAGAAGAAUUCAGGAAUGAAGUAAUUCUGAUUGCUAGGCUACAACAUAGAAACUUGGUUCAACUUCUUGGAUAUUGUGGCGAGCAGGCCGAAAAGUUGCUGAUUUAUGAGUAUCUACCCAAUGGGAGCUUAGACGCCAUCCUUUUUGAUGAUUCAAGGAGAAUGUUGUUGGAUUGGGAAACACGGUUUAGUAUAAUCAAAGGGGUCGCAAGGGGAUUACUUUACCUCCACCAAGAUUCAAGAAUGACUAUAAUCCAUAGAGAUCUCAAAGCUGCAAAUGUUUUACUAGAUGCAGAAAUGAAACCCAAGAUAGCGGAUUUUGGUAUGGCAAGGAUCUUUGGGGAUAACCAGCAAAAUGCAAAUACCCAACAUGUUGUCGGAACAUAUGGCUACAUGGCUCCUGGGUAUGCAAUGGAAGGCAUCUUCUCUGCCAAGUCUGACGUCUAUAGCUUCGGCGUGUUACUGCUAGAGGUUGUAACGGGUAUAAGGAGAAGCUCCAAUAGUCAAACCAUGGGGUUCCCUAACCUCAUAGUCUAUUCAUGGAAUAUGUGGAAGGAAGGGAAGGCAGAGGCAUUGUCAGACUCAUCUAUCAUGAAUACUUGUUCACCUGAUGAAGUUUCGCUUUGCAUCCAUGUAGCACUCUUGUGUGUCCAGGAGAAUCCAGAUGACAGGCCAUUGAUGUCAUCUGUUGUGUUUGUCCUGGAGAAUAGAAGCACCACACUUUCGACCCCAAACUACCCACCCGACUUUGCACGGCACAACACUGAAAUGGAGCGCAUAAGAGAUGAUAUUCAGCACUCUAUGAAUAGUUUUACUCUUACCGAGAUACAGGGACGAUGA